rnacentral:rRNA from 1 species
AUUGAACGCUGGCGGCAGGCCUAACACAUGCAAGUCGAGCGAGCGGCGGACGGGUGAGUAAUGUAUGGGGACUGCCCGAUAGAGGGGGAUAACUACUGGAAACGGUAGCUAAUACCGCAUACUAUCGGAUAACCCAUAUGGGAUUAGCUAGUUGGUGAGGUAAUGGCUCACCAAGGCGACGAUCCCUAGCUGGUCUGAGAGGAUGAUCAGCCACACGGGAACUGAGACACGGCCCAGACUCCUCCGGGGGCAGCAGGGGGGAAUAUUGCACAAUGGGCGCAGGCCUGAUGCAGCCAUGCCGCGGGUAUGAAGAAGGCCUUCGGGUUGUAAAGUACUUUCAGCGGGGAGGCGUUACUCGCAGAAGAAGCACCGGCUAACUCCGUGCCAGCAGCCGCGGUAAGAC